UAGGGAAUCUUCGGCAAUGGACGAAAGUCUGACCGAGCAACGCCGCGUGAGUGAAGAAGGUUUUCGGAUCGUAAAACUCUGUUGUUAGAGAAGAACAAGGACGUUAGUAACUGAACGUCCCCUGACGGUAUCUAACCAGAAAGCCACGGCUAACUACGUGCCAGCAGCCGCGGUAAUACGUAGGUGGCAAGCGUUGUCCGGAUUUAUUGGGCGUAAAGCGAGCGCAGGCGGUUUCUUAAGUCUGGUGUGAAAGCCCCCGGCUCAACCGGGGAGGGGCAUUGGAAACUGGGGGACUUGAGGGCAGAAGAGGAGAGUGGAAUUCCAUGUGUAGCGGUGAAAUGCGUAGAUAUAUGGAGGAACACCAGUGGCGAAGGCGGCUCUCUGGUCUGUAACUGACGCUGAGGCUCGAAAGCGUGGGGAGCAAACAGG
rnacentral:rRNA from 1 species